AUGGUUAGUGUACGAUUGAAUCGGGGGCGUCACAGCUGGCGACGCUCAUUCCCGCUGCCCGGCCUCAUCGAUCUAGGCAGGAAAUCCACACCCGACCACCAUCCUCCUUCUCCUUCUAUGUCCCACAUGCCCCGGUCGCCGGUGAAACACCUUCCACCCAAAUCACCGACCCAUCCUACAAAUAAGCGCAACCCUAAGUCAUGGUACACGCAGUAUAGUCAGGAGCUCAAGGAGCAUUUGGCAGCGGAGAAGCAAAUCAUGGCCGAAUGUGCCGAUAAGGUCGCGAUGGCUGCUAUUCGUGUCGACCCCCAAAUCUUGGAGGAGCACCUCGCCAUCGAGGCCACCGUCGACGCCUCGCAUGCCAACGCCACCAUGAGGUUGACUGCUUUAAACGACAAUUCAUGGCGUUUUCUUGAGGCCACUGUCGGUGCCUUCGACGAGGACUACGCGGUGUUUUCUCAGCGUGUCCGUGCUUACCUCAACUCUAGAGCCAGCAAGUUGGUUCCCAGAGCAGCUCAGGUGACUCACCACUACGAGGAGGGCACCCACGAUAAGGAGGCCUCGCCCUCUUCCAAGUCUAAGGAGACAAUCAUCAACGAUAUCUCCGAUGAUGAUGAGUAG
rnacentral:rRNA from 1 species